rnacentral:rRNA from 1 species
GUGAGGAAUAUUGGUCAAUGGACGAGAGUCUGAACCAGCCAAGUCGCGUGAAGGAAGACGGUUCUAUGAAUUGUAAACUUCUUUUGUGCAGGAAUAAAGUGGGUUACGUGUAACCUUUUGUAUGUACUGUACGAAUAAGGAUCGGCUAACUCCGUGCCAGCAGCCGCGGUAAUACGGAGGAUCCGAGCGUUAUCCGGAGUUAUUGGGUUUAAAGGGUGCGUAGGUGGAUUGAUAAGUCAGCGGUGAAAGUUUGCAGCUUAACUGUAAAAUUGCCGUUGAAACUGUCGGUCUUGAGUGCAAAUGAGGUAGGCGGAAUGUGUUGUGUAGCGGUGAAAUGCUUAGAUAUAACACAGAACUCCGAUUGCGAAGGCAGCUUACUGGGAUGCAACUGACACUGAUGCACGAAAGCGUGGGUAUCAAACAGGAUUAGAUACCCCUGUAGUCC